rnacentral:misc_RNA from 1 species
UAGAUUCAAUAGGUGAAACUAGUUUUCCAACCUUAGAAUCACUAUAUGUGACAAACCUUUCACGUUAUAUGAUAUUCAUACCUAAGUGUGUACAUGAGUGUAAUUAUUUAAUCAACACAAUAAUUAGAUCAUAGUAUAUUCACUUUACUCUCGAAGCAAUCUAAUUCACUUUACUCUUAAAACAAUCUCAUUGCGAACACACAAGUCUCAUUCACAUAGCAAAUUCUCAUGUUUUGCCCUACAAG